rnacentral:lncRNA from 1 species
GACCCUGGAGGCAGCUCCUGGCCUUUUUGCUAUCCUGCACAAGGAUUUGCAGCCAUUUUCAGGUAAAAAGAAGAAACCACAGAUGCAAAGAGUCUUCGGAAGCUGCCAGCAGUGAGCUGUUCCAGAGAGCAGCCAGAGGGGGCUGGCCUGCAGCCAAGGCCUGGCGCCCGCGGUGUCUCCACAUCUUCUUUUCUUACUGGGGAUGGAAAGGAGAGAAACUGACUCAAUUAACGGAACCUAGAGCCACUAGUGAACAAUGUGGAUAAAUAAGGACUGAGAUGUCCUUUCCUAAGCAGCCUCAAUGAUGGGGAGGUGCUGGUGAGUUUUCCAUGCUGUGUAGCCACAUUCGAAUCCACAGACUCCUCUUAGCCCCGUGCCUUCCAGGGUGAACACACUCUUUGCGAAGUGCAAAUUCUUCUUGUACAGGGACCCAGGAAGCAAAUCCUCUUUUGUAUCGAGCACAUAUAAGGGCCUACGUUUUGCUUCCAGAAGGUGGUGCUAACUGCAGAUGCUGAGCAAUGGGAAGUUCAAGGGUGAGUUUUCAUUGGGACUGGGCGAGUGGAGAGCAGCGGCAGUGAGGAGGGCUUCCUAUCCCAGCAAAUCAGUUUCCUCUGGGCAGCACCCGUGGGCUGGCAUGCCUGAGUGAUAGGGAGACUUGGAGGACCCUGGCGUGGACAAGUGCCCAGAAUCCUGAUGUCCAGGCACUGCCACCCAUAAACCUGAAAACAGGGGUUAGGCACUUGCCACGGACUCCUGGAAAGGAGAGGUCGUUUCCUGGAAAGGAGAGGUCCUUCACUGCCAC